rnacentral:rRNA from 1 species
UACGGAGGGGGCUAGCGUUGUUCGGAAUUACUGGGCGUAAAGCGCGCGUAGGCGGCUUUGUAAGUCAGAGGUGAAAGCCUGGAGCUCAACUCCAGAACUGCCUUUGAGACUGCAUCGCUAGAAUCAUGGAGAGGUAAGUGGAAUUCCGAGUGUAGAGGUGAAAUUCGUAGAUAUUCGGAAGAACACCAGUGGCGAAGGCGGCGACCUGGUCCGAUACUGACGCUGAGGCGCGAAAGCGUGGGGAGCAAACAGG